GCAUGUAUAAGAGAGCUCUCUUCAGUCCACUCUCAGAUGACUGUAGGGUUUUAUUAGCUGCCGAUUCAUCCAUUCACCUACCAAGAAUCAUGAGGGCGUAUAUGUCUUGGUAGCCGACUGGAUGGCACGGGAGCUACAAAAAGCUUUUCGUUGUUUGUGGUUGGACUGAAGGGUGCUCCCUUGCUUACAAUA
rfam:Brachypodium distachyon strain Bd21 chromosome 2, whole genome shotgun sequence.